UACGUAGGUGGCAAGCGUUAUCCGGAAUACUGGGCGUAAAGCGCACGCAGGCGGCUCGUCAAGUUCGACGUGAAAGCUCCCGGCUUAACUGGGAGAGGUCGUUGAAAACUGGCGAGCUUGAGGCAAUGAGAGGGGUGUAGAAUUCCCGGUGUAGUGGUGGAAUGCGUAGAUAUCGGGAGGAAUACCAGUGGCGAAAGCGGCACCCUAGCGUUGUUCUGACGCUCAUGUGCGAAAGCGUGGGGAGCGAACGGGAUAGAAACCCAGUA
rnacentral:rRNA from 1 species